rnacentral:piRNA from 1 species
CAUUAAAUGUAAAACUAUGGUCCA